rnacentral:rRNA from 1 species
UAUGAACGUUGGCGGCGUGGAUUAGGCAUGCAAGUCGAACGAGAAUCCCCGCAAGGGGAGGAAAGUGGCGAAAGGGAGAGUAAUACGUAGGUACCUGCCCUCAGGUCUGGGAUAGCUGCGGGAAACUGCAAUUAAUACCGGAUGAUGUCUGCGGACCAAAGGUGUGAUUCCGCCGGAGGAUGGGCCUGCGUCCUAUCAGCUAGUUGGUGUGGUAAUGGCGCACCAAGGCUAAGACGGGUACGGGGUGUGAGAGCAUGCCCCCGCUCACUGGGACUGAGACACUGCCCAGACACCUACGGGUGGCUGCAGUCGAGAAUCUUCCGCAAUGGGCGCAAGCCUGACGGAGCGACGCCGCGUGUGGGAUGAAGGCCUUCGGUUGUAAACCACUGUCAGUGGGAGCAAAUGCAUCAGGGUUCUCCCUGGUGUCUGAGCGAUCCGCAGAGGAAGCACAGGCUAAUUCCGUGCCAGCAGCCGCGGU